GUGAGCCACUAUGCCCGGCCUUCUAUUUUCUGUGCUUGGAUUCCCUGGCUUUUAUGACAGUCUGCUUAUAAUGUGCCUAUUUAUGAUCAAAUACUCCCUUUUAUACCCUCCGAGGGAAGGAUUGGAGUCCCAUUUAUUGCUGUAGCUUCCCCUGUGCCUAACAUCAGAUAGGAAAGAAGAAAGGAAGUAAAGAAAAACGGAAGAAAGAAUGGCGGGAAGAAAGACUGGGGUUUGGAGAACAUUUAAACACAUGUUCUUGCCUUGAAUGAAGCACCGACUAAUUUCCUUACUUGUUACAUUCAGAAUUCAAAUAAAAGAAAAUUUUCAUCUUGCA